rnacentral:rRNA from 1 species
CACCAGGUCAGGACACGGUAAGGAUUGACGGACUGAAGGCUCUUUCUCGAUUCCGUGGAAAGUGGUGCAUGGCCGUUUUGGUUGGUGGAUCGAUCCGUCUGGUUAAUUCCGUUAACGAACGAGACCUCGGCACUCCGAAUAGCGCGGCGGACGUCGCGGCCUCCGGGCCGUCUUCCGCACGAGCUUCUUAGAGGGACCGUCCCCCGCCGGGGAAGGAGGUGCGAGGCAACGACAGGUCUGUGAUGCCCUUAGAUGUUCUGGGCCGCACGCGCAUUACACUGACGCGUCCAACGGGUGACUCCCGACCCGAAGGGGCCGGGGAAUCCGCAAGGCGCGUCGUGAUGGGGAUUGAACGUUGCAAUUGUUGUUCACGAACGAGGAAUUCCUAGUAGGCGCGGGUCAUCAACCCGCGCCGAUUACGUCCCUGC